CCUACGGGGGGCAGCAGUCGAGAAUCUUUCACAAUGGGGGAAACCCUGAUGGUGCGACGCCGCGUGGGGGAAUGAAGGUCUUCGGAUUUUAAACCCCUUUCAUGUGGGAGCAAAUUAAAAAGAUAGUACCACAAGAGCAAGAGACGGCUAACUCUGUGCCAGCAGCCGCGGUAAUACAGAGGUCUCAAUCGUUGUUCGGAAUCACUGGGCGUAAAGGGUGCGUAGGCUGUUUCGUAAGUCGUGUGUGAAAGGCGCGGGCUCAACCCGCGGACUGCACAUGAUACUGCGAGACUGGAGUAAUGGAGGGGGAACCGGAAUUCUUGGUGUAGCAGUGAAAUGCGUAGAUAUCGGGAGGAACACUCGUGGCGAAGGCGGGUUCCUGAACAUUAACUGACGCUGAGGCACGAAGGCCAGGGGAGCGAAAGGGAUUAGAUACCCUAGUAGUC
rnacentral:rRNA from 1 species